rnacentral:lncRNA from 10 species
AGAACCAGCGUACCUCCUCCGGGCCCAGCUCCGUCACUACCUCAUAGCGGUGCCGGGCCGCCGGGCCGCCAAGCCGGAUCAUCUUCUCAGGUAAUAUGAUCCUGACCAGAGGGAGAUGGGUUGGGGCAUCUAUUCUAGUCCCCACCUGCCAGAAUAGGUGUCAGGUGGCUCCUCACCACUCUACAUCAUUAGUGUGUACAAUGGACACAGCAUUAUCUGAACUUCCAUGGCUCUAUGUAAAGCAUUCCAUUGUAUUUUAAUAAUUACGCAAGACAAGGCCUCUUUCACAUAAGGCAAAUAAGUGUGAUUGAUUCAGACUUCUGGCAUUACUGGGCCAUGCUGCCGCAAGAAACAGGUGCAUGUGGAAUCAAGCCUGACGGAGUUAUUGGUGUGCAGAAAAAAAAAAAGGUAAGCCAGUUGGUUUGUACUACAAAAGACUAAAACAGCUCGUCUGUGUAUCCUACCACCUUCCUGUCCCCAUUAGGCAUAUGGCAAGAGCUAUCUGGUAACAACGGCCAUCUCCUCCCGCGUCUCAAAGAUGUUUUCGUGCAAUUGUGUGCUGUCUUUCCCUUUUCUUCUUUUCUUAAAGUUUGUCCCUGUUAUUCAUUUUAUUAUUUUAGAGAUAGGGUCUUGCUGUUGCCCGGGUGAAGUAUAGUAGGCCAAUCCUAGCUCACUGCAGCCUUGAACUCCUGGCCUCAAGUAAUCCUCCUGCUGCAGCCUCCCCAGUAGCUAGUAUUACAGGCACAAGCCACCAUGUUGUUCAUUUUAACCUGUCUUCACGUUUGUAACAUUAGGGAAUGCUUGAUGCCAAGUAAUUUAUCCUGAGCCAACAUCCCACACCUGCACUUGAAAUAGCUUCAUCCAAAGUGUAUGAUGGAAGACCCCUAUUUAGAAUGAAAGAAAGAGGGCAGACAUAACCAUGCCCCCAUCUGCUGUAUCUCGUGUUCGAUAAGCCAUCCACCACAACUUAAAUUUUAUUUCACUUUUUAUUUUUAGGAUUACUACUUAUCUGGUUUUUAAAGAUGAGAGUGUUUUAUCUGAUGCCCUGACCAAAUGAAACAACAACCUAGACUGAAGCAGGGAACAUUCGCUGGACAUUUCAGGCACUGUGCUAGGCUCUACAGUGAAGCAUUCACAGUCUAGUGGUGUCUAUAAAUAAAACCAAAAUGCUAACUUUUAAAUUCCUAUGAGGAAUAUAAUUGUAAUGCCACUAUAGCUGCAUCACUACCAUGGGGUCAUUCUCUCCCUACAGACAGAUCAAUAAACAAAAUCAAAUUACAAUCCAAAGGAAGCAAGGUGGGCAGAAAUAACGUAGGGAUUCAUGAUGAAUAAAGUCAUUAAUCCUUCCAUUUAUUCAUUCAACAAAUAUUUAUUGUCUAGUGCUAUUGUGUUUUUAUUUUUAACUGAAAUUACACUUAAAAUUUAGAAUUAUGAAAUGCAUUUAUUUAAAGAUUUAUAAGAGGCCUAUCCACAAAACCAUACUUACCAAAACCCUAUAAAAAUGUUUUCUAUUCCUUUUGGAAAUAAAGGUCAGUGGUGGUGAAGGUAUAUAUUCAAAUGAAAGAAAGUAUAAAUCAAUACAACAUUGAUGCAUACUCUGUGGAGGCAGCCACAAAAUCCUCAUCAGCUUGUUUAUAUCAGACAGAUUUGGCCAUCUUCCUGCCCUUUCAUUAUAGAAAAGUGAGUUGGGCCAUAGCUAUUGGCUGCUGUGAGGCCCACAUUAUGCACCCAUUGUAGAUGUAUUUAAUGACUUCUGCGCUCUAGGAUUUUUUCCUACCUCCACAGGUAAGUUGAAAGUACAUAUUUGUUCACAGACUCAUAUGAGCCUUCAAUAAAAAGUAAUUGAUAAUCAUAAUAUGGUGCUGAGCAAGACUUAGAGGCAGCACCUUGCGUAUGUGUAUUGUCAUAUAUAAGUUAAAAAGGAAAGAAAAGAGAAGCUUUGUUCCAAUAAGGAUUUAUUUCCACUAAUGUAACUGUCAGUAAUUUGCUGAGCAUUUAAAAGACUGAACAGCAGAAUUGAUUUACUGUUUUUGCAACUGCUGCUUAAAAAAGUAUGUUUAUCCUUACAUCAUAAGUCAGCAACUCAUUU